rnacentral:pre_miRNA from 14 species
UCUCCGGAGACGAGGGUGGUCGCCCAUCGCGGACAAACCCCCAAUGAAAGACCCCCAGGGCAGGGAGACCCUCACUCAAGUCUUGGGAUGACAUGAUCCCCCAAGAACUCAUGAGAGACC